rnacentral:rRNA from 1 species
UACGUAGGGGGCAAGCGUUGUCCGGAAUUAUUGGGCGUAAAGAGCGUGUAGGCGGUCCGGUAAGUCGGCUGUGAAAGUCCAGGGCUCAACCUCGAGAUGUCGGCGGAAACCAUUUGGCUAGAGUCCGGAAGAGGAAAGUGGAAUUCCUGGUGUAGCGGUGAAAUGCGCAGAUAUCAGGAAGAACACCCGUGGCGAAGGCGGCUCUCUGGGACGGUACUGACGCUGAGACGCGAAAGCGUGGGGAGCGAACAGG